CUGAGUCCGGUGGCUGCGUCCGCUACGCAGCGAGUCACCCACCCCACCAAGUGCCGCUCGGGCGUACGGUGCUUGGGAGACGUGUUAGGCACACGGGCCGCUCGAAGAAUGGCGUCCAUUUACAUAAUGCUUUGUUUGCAUUUCGUUGGCUCCUGUUUGUGAAGCCCUCAGAAACCCCACUUCCUGCCCUCGUGCUUUAUCUCCCACGAGAGUUUCUGAGACUUUAGAGGGGCAGUGCGCAUUGAUGGGGUGCCGGCAUGGCCCCACACGUCCGCGCUGGCUCGCGGGCCGUCUAGGCCACGCUCUCUGGAGGCCGCCACCCCUCAGCGCGGCCGCCAUCUUGGGAGGUCUUCCUGACCGAGCCCUCCCGCCAGGAAAUGGCCAUCGGUGGAAACGCUGGAGGGCGGCUAGUGAUUUCUUUGCCUGCUCCUUGUGCGGCCUCCAUAGUCAGCCUAGAGGAGGCCGUGUGAACGUGUUUAAUACUACACAGAAAGGGCUAACGUGGCGUUCCUUCGCCCCCCUCACCGCCCCCCCCAGCGGGGAGGGCAGGCAGCCAUGAUUCCCAACAAAAUGGCGACACGUGUUGCCAUCGAGAAAUUGGGAACAAGACAAACCCAGAGAGAUGAAGUGACUGACCCAAGGUUACACAGAAUGGAAUCUGUAUCUUCUGAUUUCCCUACUGUUGGUGGCUCGCAACUGUCUAUUGACUUCAGUUUUAGGACAUUGGACACCUUCUUCUGGUCUCGGGAGGAACCAGGCACACCCACACUCCCAUGUUCAGAGGAGCAGCCCUUGAAGCUACUGAAAUAAUGGAACAAUGGAGUAGAUGGUCCAUUAUAACUCAUCUGUGAUUCUUCUCAAAUUCAAGUGACCACAGAAAAAGCAGUUAACAAGUGUCUGGACUACUGGAGAAGACUCAGGCCUCUGAGCCACAGCAGGAACAAAGCCUGAGACAUUAUCAACAAGAAGAAGCAUAAGCAUCCAUCUGCCAUGACACAGAAGUGUCCUGGGGGAAACAGACCAAAAGAGAAGAGGAGGUUGGGGGCCCGGAAGACUGAGGCCCAUCCUGGGGUGGAAGCACGAGCAGAUUUCCUCGGUCCAGAUGGCUGGAUCGGUGGAGAUUAAAUGCAGAUGUUGGCAGUGCAUUGAGAGCACUUUUUUUUUUAUUAUAACCCCUACCACAAAUU